rnacentral:lncRNA from 1 species
GUGCGGGGCGCGGGGCGCGGGGCGCGGCAGCUGGACCGUUAGGCUGUGCCCUCCCGCCCCGGCUUCGCUGCAGCCGGACCGCCGCCUGUGCGCCGGCGAGCUCCGGGCGUUCGCUCCCGGCCCGCGGAGGAGGCCGCGGGUUACGAGCGGGGAACCUGGGGACCCCGGCCGGGCGUCCCCUGCCGCUCCCCGAGGAGGGAGAGGACAGGGUGGACAGAGUGAGGAGGUUGGGCAGAGGAGCCCCCAGGUGUCGAUCAGCUGAAGGAGGGAGGCUCACGCGCUCACCCACGCCACGAGUCAGGAGACCCAGCCAGUGCACUGACCGUCCAUGGAAAUCUUCACCGUCUUCCUCCAGAUACACCUAAAUGUAGCCCUUAUUAUGCUGAGAAUACCUGGCCUACCUCAGGAAGCUGCCAUUCCAACCCACCUGGUUCAAGCUGCUUACGUUAUCGAGGGUUGAAGAACCCAAACCAUCCACAUUUGCCAAAGGUCUGGAAGAGAGGCAUAGCUGGAGAAGGAAGAUCAAGGGAGUGUGACUUCAAGAAGAGCAUGCGGUUGUGUCAGUCAAGAAGAAUGCCAUGCCCUCCUCAACAGCCACACCCUUUUGCAUUUGGCCUGAUGGGAUGUUACUCAUCCAGACAGCAAACCCAUCACAAAGGGAAGAAAGGCUCCGGCAGCCAAGUUCACUAAGAAGAAAGAAGGACAUAUCAAGAGGAUUUAAAAGGUUCACAAUACUGACUUGGAUUUAUUAUUUAUUUAUUUAUUUAUUUAUUUAUUUAUUUUUGAGAUAGGGUCUCACUCUGUGCCCCAGGCUGGAGUACAGUGGCAUAAUCAUGGCUCGUGGCAACCUCAAUCUCCUGGGCUCAAGCGAUCCUCUUGCCUCCGGCCUCCCUAAUAGCUGGAACUACAGGUGCACACCACAUGCCCAGAUAAUGUUUGUAUUUUUUGUAGAGACAAGGUCUCGCUAUGUUGCCCAGGCUGGUCUGGAACUCUUGGUCUCAAGUGAUCCCUGCCCUUGGCCUCCCAAAGUGAUGGGAUUACAGGCGUGAACCACUGUGCACAGCCCCCAAUACUGACUUGUUUAUGCUUUUUACUGUUGUGGUUUUGUUUUUGCUUACAUUUACUGUAAUCAACCUUAUUUAGUAUCAUAAAACUGUAUGGUGUAAAUAUUAUGUUGUCUAAGGUAUACAAGACCAAAAGUAGAGGUUGAAUAGGGUAGAUGCUCUGAUUUUUUUAUAUUACCCUUUUUAAUAAAAAAAAAUACUAUCAAUUGAAUAAUUCCAAUUCCAGUUCUUCCUUGAGAAAAGGAAACUGGUAGCUUUUUUGACUUAGUGCUAUUUGGAAGCUUUGUGCCUUUCUUUGCUUCAUGAAGAGAUCAGAGCAAGAUGUGAGACAAUUCCAUUCAGUCUUCUACAAUGUCACCCUGAG